CGCCAAGCUGGACUAAGGCACCUGACUUUGACUCAGGCAAUCGGUCGUUCGAAUCGACCACGGUCUGCCA
rnacentral:tRNA from 1 species